UACGGAGGGCGCAAGCGUUGUUCGGAAUCACUGGGCGUAAAGCGCGCGUAGGCGGCCGGGUAAGUCAGAUGUGAAAUCCCGAGGCUCAACCUCGGAACUGCAUUCGAAACUGGUCGUCUUGAGACCAGGAGAGGAUGGCGGAAUUCCCGGUGUAGGGGUGAAAUUCGUAGAUAUCCGGUGGAACACCAGUGGCGAAGGCGGCUAACUGGACGGGUACUGACGCUGAGGUGCGAAAGUGUGGGGAGCAAACAGG
rnacentral:rRNA from 1 species